rnacentral:rRNA from 1 species
CCGAAUUGUGGUCUAGGAAGGCGCCAUCGGCCGCGCGCGUCGCCGAAAUCCCUUGGAAGAGGGUAUCGGAGAAGGUGAGAAUCCUGUGCCGUGGCGCGUCGCGGCCUCACGAUGCGUCCUUGUCGAGUCGGGUUGCUUGGGAUUGCAGCUUGAAGUGGGUGGUAAAUUCCAUCUAAAGCUAAAUAGUGGCGAGAGACCGAUAGCGAACAAGUACCGUGAGGGAAAGAUGCAAAGAACUUUGAAAAGAGAGUCAAAGAGUGCUUGAAAUUGGCAGGAGGAAACCCGGUUGC